rnacentral:rRNA from 1 species
UUGCCAGACUCCUACGGGAGGCAGCAGUGGGGGAUAUUGCACAAUGGGGGAAACCCUGAUGCAGCGACGCCGCGUGUGGGAAGACGGUCCUCUGGAUUGUAAACCCCUGUCCCCAGGGACGAAAAUGACGGUACCUGGGGAGGAAGCUCCGGCUAACUACGUGCCAGCAGCCGCGGUAAUACGUAGGGGGCAAGCGUUAUCCGGAUUUACUGGGUGUAAAGGGAGCGCAGACGGCAGUGCAAGUCUGGAGUGAAAGCCCGGGGCCCAACCCCGGAACUGCUCUGGAAACUGUGCGGCUAGAGUACUGGAGGGGCAGGCGGAAUUCCUAGUGUAGCGGUGAAAUGCGUAGAUAUUAGGAGGAACACCAGUGGCGAAGGCGGCCUGCUGGACAGUAACUGACGUUGAGGCUCGAAAGCGUGGGGAGCAAACAGGAUUAGAUACCCUGGUA